rnacentral:rRNA from 1 species
AGAGUUUGAUCAUGGCUCAGAAUCAACGCUGGCGGCGUGCCUAACACAUGCAAGUCGAACGAGAAAGUCCGCAAGGAUGAGUAAAGUGGCGACCGGGUGAGUAACACGUGACUACCUGCCUUGAGUGGGGGAUAACUCCGGGAAACCGGGGCUAAUACCGCAUAACAUCGCAAGAUCAAAGGAGCAAUCCGCUUUUGGAG